CUGAAAAAAAUGUUAGAGUAAAAUUAACCAUUCAACGAUGCUUAAUUUUACUAUGCCUGAAAAUAGUUAUAAUGACUAUAUUAUUAAUCUUGACUACCAUGUUUUUCUUAAAAUUACUAUGCUUUGACAACCAAACGAAUAGUAAUCAAGACUAUUCAGCAUAGUUAUCUUGAAUACACUUUUUGUGUUUGACAGAACAAUUUUCGCGUUUCAUUAUUACUAUUUAUAUUUACUGAAGUGACCGGUAGAAUACAAGUAGCCGGUAAAUCCACAAUAACGUGUUCAGUUAGAACAAAUAGUUUCUCAGAGGUUUGUUGUAGUACAAAAGUCGACUCCCUAAAAAAUAUUUCUUGUAUUUGGUGGAUUGUUGACAAUAAAUCAAAGUUAAUUUAUCGGAAAAUGUCCAUGGUGAGUUAAUUUGUUGCCGAAUAAUUAAGCUAAGCAAUAAAAUGAUAACAAAAGUGCUUAAUAACCCAGUUGGACCCACAGCAUCAUCGCCCAAAUUUUUCCGUCCAAAGCUGCCGUGUUCGAAGCCGACGGAAAUUCCGACGCCCUCACGAUCACCAUUGGAACCGGUAUCAAUUAUCUCUACCAGGUGUUGAAGAUCGAAAAAAAAGUUAAGAAGGAUGCCUAAAAGGCCAUCAAAACGUGGUGUCACAUAAAAAACCCCUACAGAGGAAUACCGACUCCGCGAUAGACCAUCGGACAUGAACGGAAUGCCCUUUCCCGCCAGUUCAAGCGAUCCUUUCCUUCCAUUCCGGAAGACGACCUAAUCGAUGCGUUCAUAGCUGACACGCAGGCAAAGCGAGUGCCAGGUAAUUGAAAAGCUCCAGCAAUGUCAGGAAGAUUUAUUGAA